UUCGGUGUUUAGGGGGGUCCGUGACUUGGGGUUGCCGGCAGAGGCUUAAAUAACUGAUUAGAGGAUGAAACCCUCCUCUGAGACGUCCCAUCCUCUCCUUUUCUCCAUACUCCGGGACUGGCCGCCGCCCCCCCUUGUCUCCGGCGCGCCGGCAUCGGCUGCCAGCAGGGGUGAGGGUCACCCUUCCCUGUCAGUCUUAUCCCUUCGUAUUUUAAUAUCUUCCCUGCCGGUCUUAUCCCUCAUAAGUAUUAUAAUUAUACUGCCUACAGUGACAUUUGGGCCCAACCCUUAGCUGGGCCCACUUCUUAUUGGGCCUAGUAGGUUGUGG
rnacentral:lncRNA from 1 species